UACAGAGGUCUCGAGCGUUAGGCGGAAUCACUGGGCUUAAAGCGUGUGUAGGUGGAUCGUUAAGUCCCUUGUGAAAUCCCACGGCUUAACCGUGGAACUGCUUGGUAUACUGGCGGUCUUGAGCCAGCUAGGGGCUACCGGAACAAAUGGUGGAGCGGUGAAAUGCGUAGAUAUCGGAAGGAACGCCGGUGGCGAAAGCGACGUGCUGGACCUCUUCUGACGCUGAGGCGCGAAAGCCAGGGGAGCAAACGGG
rnacentral:rRNA from 1 species